rnacentral:rRNA from 1 species
GAUGAACGCUGGCGGCGUGCCUAAUACAUGCAAGUCGAGCGAACGGACGAGAAGCUUGCUUCUCUGAUGUUAGCGGCGGACGGGUGAGUAACACGUGGAUAACCUACCUAUAAGACUGGGAUAACUUCGGGAAACCGGAGCUAAUACCGGAUAAUAUUUUGAACCGCAUGGUUCAAAAGUGAAAGACGGUCUUGCUGUCACUUAUAGAGGGAUCCGCGCUGCAUUAGCUAGUUGGUAAGGUAACGGCUUACCAAGGCAACGAUGCAUAGCCGACCUGAGAGGGUGAUCGGCCACACUGGAACUGAGACACGGUCCAGACUCCUACGGGAGGCAGCAGUAGGGAAUCUUCCGCAAUGGGCGAAAGCCUGACGGAGCAACGCCGCGUGAGUGAUGAAGGUCUUCGGAUCGUAAAACUCUGUUAUUAGGGAAGAACAUAUGUGUAAGUAACUGUGCACAUCUUGACGGUACCUAAUCAGAAAGCCCCGGCUAACUACGUG